rnacentral:rRNA from 1 species
AACGAACGCUGGCGGCAUGCCUAACACAUGCAAGUCGAACGAGCCCUUCGGGGUUAGUGGCGCGGGUGCGUAACGCGUGGGAAUCUGCCCUUGGGUUCGGAAUAACAGUGAGAAAUUACUGCUAAUACCGGAUGAUGUCUUCGGACCAAAGAUUUAUCGCCCAAGGAUGAGCCCGCGUAGGAUUAGCUAGUUGGUGGGGUAAUGGCCUACCAAGGCGACGAUCCUUAGCUGGUCUGAGAGGAUGAUCAGCCACACUGGGACUGAGACACGGCCCAGACUCCUACGGGAGGCAGCAGUGGGGAAUAUUGGACAAUGGGCGAAAGCCUGAUCCAGCAAUGCCGCGUGAGUGAUGAAGGCCUUAGGGUUGUAAAGCUCUUUUACCCGGGAUGAUAAUGACAGUACCGGGAGAAUAAGCUCCGGCUAACUCCGUG